UAAGGAAUAUUGCUCAAUGGGAGAAAUCCUGAAGCAGCAACGCCGCGUGGAGGAUGAAGGGUCUAUGACUUGUAAACUCCUGUAAAGAAGGAAAAAAUUCCCAUUAGAUGGGAGAUGAUGGUACUUCUGGAGUAAGCCCCGGCUAACUACGUGCCAGCAGCCGCGGUAAUACGUAGGGGGCAAGCGUCGUCCGGAUUUACUGGGUGUAAAGGGUGCUCAGGCGGAUUUGUAAGUCAGAGGUGAAAUCUUACAGCUUAACUGUGAAACUGCCUUUGAUACUGCAAGCCUAGAGUAUGGAAGAGAGUGAUGGAAUAUCUGGUGUAGCAGUGAAAUGCGUAGAUAUCAGAUAUAACACCAAUGGCGAAGGCAGUCACUUGGUCCAUUACUGACGCUAAAGCACGAAAGCGUGGGUAGCAAACA
rnacentral:rRNA from 1 species